GACAUGGCCCAUGAUGGAGGGGAGUUGACUGGAAGCACAUCAAGUGUCCUGUGUCCUUAUCAACACUACACUACCCACCAAUCAGCACUGGGAUUUCUUCAACGUUUGUUACCGGGCUUCUUCAUGAACAAUGGUCUGAGGAGAUAUGUAAGCGAUGAUGUGGGAAGAAAUCAGUGACGAUCUCCAAGAAACAAAGCUCAUUUCCAUUUCUAUGAAUAGGACCAUUUGCGUUACCUUGAACCAGAAACAUCGUCACCGCCAGCAGCCCUCUACAAGGUCAGAAAAAUAACUACAUCGUGUACAUUCGUUUCCUGUGGGAGAAAAAGAGCAAGGUUGGGCGACCUUCCCCUGGCUCUCCCCCACUCCUCUCCCCUACAGCUCUCAGGGGUCCUGCUCCCCUCCCCCGCUUUCUGAAGGUGGGUGCUCCUCUGCUUGGUCAGCUCCGGCUGCUCUAACAAAGCAGGUAGGCUGAUGGCGUCAACAACAGCACUUUGUUUCUCGCAGUUUUGUACAACGGGAAGUCCAAGAUCAAGGUGCUGGCGGGGUGGGUUUUAUUCUAAGGUUUCCUCUCUUGGCUGGCAAGCUGCUGCCCCCUUGCUGUGUGCCCAUGUGACUGCUUCUUUAUGUGUGAGCACCAGGCAGGUGUGGGUGGGAACAAGCUCUCCGGUGUUUCUUCUUAAAGGGCCCUAAUCCCAUCAGAAUUGUCAACCACAGGCCCCAUCUCCAAAUACCAUCACUUUGAGGGCAAGGGCUUCAACAUAUAAAUUUGGAGGAGACACAAACAUUCAUGUCUAUUGGCCUCUCAAUAGAAGAGCUAGUGAAUUUUUUUAUCCUCACUGGUUCAAGGCAGUUAUUUCCUGUGAGUUUGUGUCGUUGUGUUUAAUACAUACAAAGGAAACUUCCAACUCUAUUUGUUUAUUGCUAGUAACCUAAAUUAAAUGGAGAAAAUCUAGUCUAAAUACUGACCACAUGACCCAUCACAAGUAGAAUUGGAAAUAAUGUUCAGAUGACAUAAAGAUAGGUAUCAACCCUACUGGGUGAAAAAAAAGAACUAAAAGGAUAUAUGUAUUCUGAAAUCAGGAGAAACAAGUGUUACUCUUUUGAUAUUACCUUCCUUUGAAGUGGCAAUUUGAAGGUCUUCCCGUGUGUGCCAUACUGCAAAACACUUUCGGAGUAUGUUAAACAUGUCACAGUGUCCUUAGAGAAUGUCACCGCAUCCUUAGAACAGAUAAUCAAAUUUGCCAUGUAAGAAACUUUCAAUUUUAUUCAUUAUUGUUAUUUGUUACACAUGUAAUAGGGACUAUUGUAGGGUUAUUUGAAAAUAUAAAAAACACAAGCUAACUGGACAAAGAUAUCCAUCCAUUAUUACCAUUUUAUUAUUUAUGCAUAUCUUCUCUCUCUCCACACAGAGACACAUAUAUACACAUAUACAAGUGUGUACAUUAUGUAUUUUGACACACGUAUUUAAGAGAAAUAUAACAAUACAUAUAGUGCUAUAAUCCGUUAUUCUCUCUUAUUAAUAUAUGAUAGACUUUCAAAUCAAGAAAUGAACUUUUUAUCAUAGCUUUAUGUAACUUGUUGCAGGACAUUUAGAUUGCCAUGUCUUAUCUCUAAGUUAACAAAGUUGUGAUGAACAGACUUCGUAUAUAUUUGCUCACUUGAACAGCUAUACUUAGAAUAAAUGCCUAGCAGUCGACUUGCUGGGAUAGAAGAAAUAAACACAAAUCUGUUUGCUAAAUACUGCAGAAUUUCUCUGAACAAAUUUUAAAGUUUGAAUUCCUCUAGCAAUGCAUGCAAAUUUGUAUUUUCCUGUGUACAUAACAAUAAUAUUAUGUAAAAUUUACUUUCCUUGUUUGCCAAUCAAAAAAAUAUUUAGUUUGUAUUAUUUUGAUUACCAGUGAGGCUUAAUAUUUCUACAUGUUUAAUGACUAUUUAAAUUUCUUAUUCCCUAGAAUUAUCCUUUCAUAUCUCUUAUUGCCAUUUUUGUCUUGAAAUAGUUGUUUUUUCUUGGCUUGUAUGAAGUAUUUUCCUAUUGUUGAUUUUAUUCUUUUAUCAUUUAAAAAUGUUUUCAAUUAUAGAGAGUUUGAAACAGAAACAAAAGUGAACGGAAUACUUGGUUAGUAAGGAAUGGUAUAUUUUGUAAAUAUUUCCAUAUAUGAAUUUCUUUUAAAAUUUACUAUGAGUUCCCUUCAUGGCUCAGUGGUUAACAAAUCUGUCUAGGAACCAUGAGGUUGUGGGUUCAACUCCUGUCCUCGUUCAGUGGGUUAAGGAUCUUGCGUUGUUGUGAGCUGUGGUGUAGGUUGCAGAUGUGGCUCAGAUCUGGCCAUUGCUGUGGCUCUGGCGUAGGCUGGUGGCUACAGCUCGGAUUAGACCCCUAGCCUUGGAAGUUCCAUCUGCCCCGGGUGCGGCCCUAGAAAAGACAAAAAAAAAAAAAA
rnacentral:lncRNA from 1 species